AGAGUUUGAUCCUGGCUCAGGACGAACGCUGGCGGCGUGCCUAAUACAUGCAAGUCGAGCGAACAGACGAGGAGCUUGCUCCUCUGACGUUAGCGGCGGACGGGUGAGUAACACGUGGAUAACCUACCUAUAAGACUGGGAUAACUUCGGGAAACCGGAGCUAAUACCGGAUAAUAUAUUGAACCGCAUGGUUCAAUAGUGAAAGACGGUUUUGCUGUCACUUAUAGAUGGAUCCGCGCCGCAUUAGCUAGUUGGUAAGGUAACGGCUUACCAAGGCAACGAUGCGUAGCCGACCUGAGAGGGUGAUCGGCCACACUGGAACUGAGACACGGUCCAGACUCCUACGGGAGGCAGCAGUAGGGAAUCUUCCGCAAUGGGCGAAAGCCUGACGGAGCAACGCCGCGUGAGUGAUGAAGGUCUUCGGAUCGUAAAACUCUGUUAUUAGGGAAGAACAUAUGUGUAAGUAACUGUGCACAUCUUGACGGUACCUAAUCAGAAAGCCACGGCUAACUACGUGCCAGCAGCCGCGGUAAUACGUAGGUGGCAAGCGUUAUCCGGAAUUAUUGGGCGUAAAGCGCGCGUAGGCGGUUUUUUAAGUCUGAUGUGAAAGCCCACGGCUCAACCGUGGAGGGUCAUUGGAAACUGGAAAACUUGAGUGCAGAAGAGGAAAGUGGAAUUCCAUGUGUAGCGGUGAAAUGCGCAGAGAUAUGGAGGAACACCAGUGGCGAAGGCGACUUUCUGGUCUGUAACUGACGCUGAUGUGCGAAAGCGUGGGGAUCAAACAGGAUUAGAUACCCUGGUAGUCCACGCCGUAAAC
rnacentral:rRNA from 1 species